ensembl:lncRNA
GGGGCUUGCUGUACUGUAGUUGGCAGGCUGAGGGGGUUGGGUGAGGGCUUGCUGUACUGUAGUUGGCAGGCUGAGGGGGUGAGGGGGCUUGCUGUAGUGUAGUUGGCAGGCUGAGGGGGGUUGGGUGAGGGGGCUUGCUGUAGUGUAGUUGGCAGGCUGAGGGGGGUGGGUGAGGGGGCUUGCUGUAGUGUAGUUGGCAGGCUGAGGGGGGGGGUGGGUGAGGGGGCUUGCUGUAGUGUAGUUGGCAGGCUGAGGGGGGGGGUGGGUGAGGGGGGUGGGUGAGGGGGCUUGCUGUACUGUAGUUGGCAGGCUGAGGGGGUGGGUGAGGGGGCUUGCUGUACUGUAGUUGGCAGGCUGAGGGGGGUGGGUGAGGGGGCUUGCUGUAGUGUAGUUGGCAGGCUGAGGGGGGGUUGGGUGAGGGGCUGUGCUGUAGUGUAGCUGGCUGGAGUAACUGAUUAACACUAUAGGGCCAAACUGGGCCGAACUGAACUGGGCUGGUUAUUCUUUCACCAUAGUAGCUGGAACCGUGCUGGAAAGGACAAUGUGUAAAUAAAAUAUCUGAGUCAGUACAGUACAGGUCAGCCCUAUCGUUCAGAUCAGGCAGAGGAAGAUAUAGGCUAGGAAGGUCUUCAUGGUUUCAGGGAAGAUAUAGGCUAGGAAGGUCUUCAUGGUUUCAGGGAAGAUAUAGGCUAGGAAGGUCUUCAUGGUUUCAGGGAAGAGGCUACAGUAAAUCUAUAUGAGCCCAGUGAAGAGGCACCUUGCCGGGCACGUUGGCUGUUCGGCCGGUCCCUCUCCUGGGAGAAAACUGGUCCUCUUCAACCACACAUGGUCAUAUACAGCC